GACGAACGCUGGCGGCGUGCCUAAUACAUGCGAGUCGAACGCUGAAGGAGGAGCUUGCUUCUCUGGAUGAGUUGCGAACGGGUGAGUAACGCGUAGGUAACCUGCCUGGUAGCGGGGGAUAACUAUUGGAAACGAUAGCUAAUACCGCAUAAGAGUAGAUGUUGCAUGACAUUUGCUUAAAAGGUGCAAUUGCAUCACUACCAGAUGGACCUGCGUUGUAUUAGCUAGUUGGUGGGGUAACGGCUCACCAAGGCGACGAUACAUAGCCGACCUGAGAGGGUGAUCGGCCACACUGGGACUGAGACACGGCCCAGACUCCUACGGGAGGCAGCAGUAGGGAAUCUUCGGCAAUGGACGGAAGUCUGACCGAGCAACGCCGCGUGAGGGAAGAAGGUUUUCGGAUCGUAAAGCUCUGUUGUAAGAGAAGAACGAGUGUGAGAGUGGAAAGUUCACACUGUGACGGUAGCUUACCAGAAAGGGACGGCUAACUACGUG
rnacentral:rRNA from 1 species